rnacentral:rRNA from 1 species
CAGAACGAACGCUGGCGGCGCGUUUAAGCAUGCAAGUCGAGCGGCAAGGGCCUUCGGGCCCCUAGAGCGGCGGACGGGUGAGUAACACGUGGACAAUCUGCCCCCCGGCCCGGGAUAGCCCAGGGAAACCUGGAUUAAUACCGGAUGGGACGGGACCCGCGAUGGCGGGAUCCGGGAAAGGCGCUGCGGCGCCGCCGGGGGAUGAGUCUGCGUCCCAUUAGCUAGACGGCGGGGUAACGGCCCACCGUGGCGACGAUGGGUAGCCGGCCUGAGAGGGUGGACGGCCACAUUGGAACUGAGACACGGUCCAGACUCCUACGGGAGGCAGCAGCUAAGAAUCUUCCGCAAUGGGCGAAAGCCUGACGGAGCGACGCCCGCGUGAACGAAGAAGGCCGUGAGGUUGUAAAGUUCUUUUCGGGAGGGGGAACAACCGUGGCAGGGAAUGGCCGCGGGAUGACGUGAAUCCCGGAAUAAGCCCCGGCUAACUACGUGCCAGCCGCAGC